UACGUAGGGUGCAAGCGUUGUCCGGAAUUAUUGGGCGUAAAGAGCUCGUAGGCGGUUCGUCGCGUCGGCUGUGAAAACCCGGAGCUCAACUCCGGGCCUGCAGUCGAUACGGGCGGACUUGAGUGUUGCAGGGGAGACUGGAGUUCCUGGUGUAGCGGUGAAAUGCGCAGAUAUCAGGAGGAACACCGGUGGCGAAGGCGGGUCUCUGGGCAACUACUGACGCUGAGGAGCGAAAGCGUGGGGAGCGAACAGG
rnacentral:rRNA from 1 species